rnacentral:lncRNA from 1 species
CGGUUGUUCCGCCGUUGACAGCGACGGGUGGUUUGGAGGCUGGGUAGACUUUGUCGUCUGUCAUGUCGGAGAGAGAUGAAAAGAGUGAUUAGUGGAAGGACAAAGGGUAAGGUUUAUAGGAGAUGCGUGUUUCUUUCUUUAUAAGAGAUUUUAAAGUGAACGUUUAAGCUUUAAGCUUGUCUUUAACGGUUGAUUAGUGGGGAGAAAAAAAGGAUUUAAUGAUAGUGGUGGUGGAGAAUGAGAGAGGAAGCCAAAGAAACAGCGACGGAGACAGAGACAGACAAAAGAGAGUGAC